AAACGUAGAUCAUCAGACAUCACAGCGUCCAAUCCCUCUCGCACACUGAAUCAACCGAUUGCUAUGCCUCCCAAGCGAGCACACACUCUCUCACCAAGGCACAUUGUAUUGUGUAGUAUUGCAAAACUCGAAAGUGGACAAUAGAAUAGCCAGAAUGCUUUCUAUAGACCUGGCGAAUGGUUGGGUUUUGCCGGUGCAAGCUAAUUAGUGCAUGAAAUUAUAAAAGUUUCUAUCAGCUAAAGAUCGUCCUGCGAAGUGAUAAGUGCACGAUUAUCCAGUUACGAAAGGUAAUUGAUGUGAAUCCGAUCCUUAUAGCAGCACUAAUAGCGACAAAUCAUUUGCACAGACGAACAACCUCAUGCCAACCAUGUGCUGAUUCGGCCGGAGUUCAUCUCGCCAUCCUUCGCCAUAAGGUAAAAUGAAUCUAGAAAAAUCAUGCCUCCAUAUGCUCACAAGUCCCACAGUUCUUUCGCAUGACCCAUUCGCGCAACGCGAUACCCUGGACAGUACAAGACGCCUCUUCGAUCUCGGUGUAUCGGAUGCACCAGGGUGCAAUAGUCUCCAAGGCCUAUAAGCAGAACCAGUUCCAGUCUGCCUGCAUGAUCAACGUUUAGCAAUCUCGAAGUACACGAGACAAUAAUAAGGCCUUCAACAGAAGGCCUUUUAUUUGCAGCCUGAAGCGUCCCACAGACCCGAAAGGAACCCUAGCUCGUAGCCAGGCACCCGGCUGUCCACGCUCCGCGUCUCCACAGCAACGCCCAUUCGCAAACCGCAUAUCGCGCAGAAGUGCAUCGGUGUCGCACACAUCUGAAACGGUGUCGUAUACACCAUACGAUCGAGGUUCGCGAGAGAGGCAUGCAACAAAGGCUUGCGACCUCGUAGGAGAUAGUGUCACACGAGUGCAUUGGUUGAGUCGGAAAAAAAGGCGUGACGUGCAUCAGUGUCACGUCGGUGUAGUGCAGUCGGACUUGCGACAAUUGGUUGUUGCAUGACAUUUUGAGCCGAGAGAAAGUGCAUCCAUGGAACAGAGCAGUCAAACCCUCUUGCUAAAGGGCGAAACAUCAGUCGGUGUGA